rnacentral:rRNA from 1 species
GUGAGGAAUAUUGGUCAAUGGACGAGAGUCUGAACCAGCCAAGUCGCGUGAAGGAAGACGGUUCUAUGAAUUGUAAACUUCUUUUGUGCUGGAAUAAAGUGGGUUACGUGUAACCUUUUGUAUGUACUGUACGAAUAAGGAUCGGCUAACUCCGUGCCAGCAGCCGCGGUAAUACGGAGGAUCCAAGCGUUAUCCGGAUUUAUUGGGUUUAAAGGGUGCGCAGGCGGGUUGAUAAGUCAGCGGUGAAAGUUUGCAGCUUAACUGUAAAAUUGCCGUUGAAACUGUCGAUCUUGAGUGCAAAUGAGGUAAGCGGAAUGUGUUGUGUAGCGGUGAAAUGCUUAGAUAUAACACAGAACACCGAUUGCGAAGGCAGCUUACUGGGAUGCAACUGACGCUCAUGCACGAAAGCGUGGGGAUCAAACAGGAUUAGAAACCCCGGUAGUCC